AGUGAGGGCUUUGUAUUUCUCUGGACCUGCUUUUUGGCUGAAAGUGUGCUUUCAGUGAGGCUAAUGGUAGACCUUUGUCUCUGUCCUGAGAUCUGACCACCUCAACUUGAUGGGUCUCGUGUGUAUUGAGAACCUGCAAGGUCACUGUCCUCCAACUUGAUGCCAUCUUUUUGUGAUAAUGGCAGCAUUGAACCUCAUUUCCUCUUUGGGAUGCUCUCAGCCAGUUCCCCAAGUUCCCGAAGACGAAGACGUGCUGGAGCUUGUCUUUGCUCUCUGUAGGUGGUUGCAUAUUUGAAGAAACCAAACUAGGUGAUGGAGAAAGAGACAGAUGGCCCUCUCUCUCGGGGAAGAAUCAGGUUUCUCUUCUGUUUGGGACUCAGUCUUUUUCAGACCUGAGAAGACAGGUCAGCUAGAAUUUAUGGAGCUCAGCAUAAUGGUAGGCAUUUAGAGUAGUUGCUCCAUAUUUGGUGGGACCUGGUAUGUGCUAUGCCGGGAGGCAGGCAUUGCAGAAGCCGUGAUGGAUAGUUCAUAGACCUUGCAUUUCUGAAUCCGGUAAUAAUUAAUCAAUUAAAUAUUUUCUGUCAAAAUUAAGACCCAUCUGAAACCUUUAGAAUUUAUAAUCUAAGUGAUGAGGUACUAUAAGAGCCUAGUAACAA